GGCCGGCCAGAACGAGCCGUAAAUGAAGACACUGCACACUGCUGGCAUCUGUAGUCUUCUCACUCGGCUUUCAACAAGUAGUAGCCGGCCAGAGAGCACUGGAAGGUUGAACUCGAGAAGAAAAGGACCGUGGUGUUUGAAGGGGCUUCACGGAGCAAGCGGAGGAGACCGAAUUGUGCCGAUUUCAAAGAAGAUAACACCCCCUGUGCCAGCAGAGCCAACUUGACUGCCACAGAAGACAUGCCCGACACCCAUUGGUCUGAGUCACUGGAGAAGGGGUUACAACAAAAGCAAUGGGAUUUGA